GGCUCAGAUUGAACGCUGGCGGCAUGCCUUACACAUGCAAGUCGAACGGCAGCACGGGGCAACCUGGUGGCGAGUGGUGAACGGGUGGGUAAUGCAUCGGAACGUGCCAUUGAGUGGGGGAUAACGUAGCGAAAGUUGCGCUAAUACCGCAUAUUCUGUGAGCAGGAAAGCAGGGGACCGCAAGGCCUUGCGCUCUUUGAGCGGCCGAUGUCAGAUUAGCUAGUUGGUGAGGUAACGGCUUGCCAAGGCGACGAUCUGUAGCGGGUCUGAGAGGAUGAUCCGCCACACUGGAACUGAGACACGGUCCAGACUCCUACGGGAGGCAGCAGUGGGGAAUUUUGGACAAUGGGCGCAAGCCUGAUCCAGCCAUGCCGCGUGAGUGAAGAAGGCCUUCGGGUUGUAAAGCUCUUUCGGUCGGGAAGAAAUCGCAUGGGUUAAUACCCUGUGUGGAUGACGGUACCGGAAUAAGAAGCACCGGCUAACUACGUG
rnacentral:rRNA from 1 species